CAAGAUCGAGUUGCCAAGUCACGAGAAACUCCUACGAAAACCCUAAACAAUUAGAUCUAAAACGAAACAGAAAAUUAAAAGAUUAGAUUUUUGAAUUUUCAGAUCUGAAAUAAAAUCCCCAAAACAGUAAAGAAUCAAAUAGAGAAUAGAAAUAAGUGUUAAUAAGGAAUCUUGAAACCCUAGAAGAGAUUGCGAUUCUGCCCAAUUAAACACCCAGAUAGUUUUCCCCAAAUUUCGGCAAUCUAAUUUCUCCCAAAAAAGAGUAUGGAUGAAUCGGCAAGAACCCUAGAAAUUGGGGAUUUUUGGGCUAAUUCCUUAAGAUAGAAAAAGGCUGAAAACACAAUAAGAACAGAAAAUAAAUUAGAUAAAGAUUCGGCACAAGCAGAAAUAAAGAAAGAAUUGACAGUAAGAAAUUAAAAGAUAAGUCCUAAGAAGCCUUGAAAUCCCGAAAGAUCUCACAACUCCCUUCAAACGGCUCUAAUCUCCCCUCCAAAGAAUAUCAAUGGCAAGAAAAAGGUUGAAGAUGGCUCCCACAAUCAAAAAGAUUGUUAAAACAACUUCUAAAGAAAACUCAAGAGAUAAAUCUUGGAGAAAACUCAAAGAAAAUUCUGCUCUCAACAAAUCUGAAAAUUUUAAUAAUAAUGAUAAGUGUUUUACAAGGUGGACAGCCAUGCCUUUAAAUAGGCCUUAUAACUAGUCCUAAUCUAAUUAGAAAACUAAAAUAAAAAAAACUCCUAAUUAUUUUAAUAUGGAAAUUCGGUCAAAGGUCAUUUUAUCUGGGACUCUUGGACUGAAUAUUGACAUAAAAAUUUAAACUAAGUAAAUAAAUAAAUAAAUAAAUAAAAAUAAAAAUAAAACUUUACAACUUGGGCCACUUUGACAAUUUGGCCUGAUUUUCAACUAAGUAUGGAUGGAUUUCUUGAUUGGGCUGGGAAUUUGCUUAUUGGGCCUCGCCUUCAAGAAUUUGGGCUUUUGUGACUCAUAUCACUCCUCCUGAUACGGGGUUGCGCGCGGACCAAGAUCGAGUUGCCAAGUCACGGGAAACUCCUACGAAAACCCUAAACAAUUAGAUCUGAAACGAAACAGAAAAUUAAAAGAUUAGAUUUUUAAAUUUUCAGAUCUGAAAUAAAAUCACCAAAACAGUAAAGAAUCAAAUAGAGAAUGGUAAUAAGUGUUAGGGUUCUUGAAACCCUCAAAGAGAUUGUGAUUCUGCCCAAUUGAACACCAAGAUAGUUUUCCCUAAAUUUCGACAAUCUAAUUUCACCCAAAAAGAGUAUGAAAAAACCCUAGAAAUUGGGGAUUUUUGGGCUGAUUCCUUAAGAUAGAAAAAGGCUGAAAACACAAUAAGAACAGAAAAUAGAUUAGAUAAUGAUUCAGCACAAGUAGAAAUAAAGAAAGAAUUGACAGUAAGAAAUUAAAAGAUAAGUCCUAAGAAGCCUUGAAAUCUCGAAAGAUCUCACAACUCCCUUCAAACGGCUCUAAUCUCCCCUCCAAAGAAUAUCAAUGGCAAGAAGAAGGUUGAAGAUGGC
rnacentral:lncRNA from 1 species